CAGCUACUCCCUCCGAUCCAUAUUAAUUGUCGAAAUAUUAUAUAUCUAGACGCUUUUUAAGCAUAGAUACAUCCAUAUUUGAACAAAUUUUAGACAAUUAAUAUGGACCGGAGGGAGUAUUGU
rfam:Brachypodium distachyon strain Bd21 chromosome 4, whole genome shotgun sequence.